rnacentral:rRNA from 1 species
UACAGAGACUGCAAGCGUUAUUCGGAUUCACUGGGCGUAAAGGGCGCGUAGGCGGCCUUCUAAGUCGAACGUGAAAUCCCCGGGCUCAACCCGGGAACUGCGUCCGAUACUGGAAGGCUUGAAUCCGGGAGAGGGAUGCGGAAUUCCAGGUGUAGCGGUGAAAUGCGUAGAUAUCUGGAGGAACACCGGUGGCGAAGGCGGCAUCCUGGACCGGCAUUGACGCUGAGGCGCGAAAGCCAGGGGAGCAAACGGG